rnacentral:rRNA from 1 species
AGAGUUUGAUCAUGGCUCAGAUUGAACGCUGGCGGCAUGCCUAACACAUGCAAGUCGAACGGCAGCACAGCAGAGCUUGCUCUGUGGGUGGCGAGUGGCGGACGGGUGAGUAAUGCAUCGGGACCUACCCAGACGUGGGGGAUAACGUAGGGAAACUUACGCUAAUACCGCAUACGUCCUACGGGAGAAAGCAGGGGACCUUCGGGCCUUGCGCGGUUGGACGGACCGAUGUGCGAUUAGCUAGUUGGUAGGGUAAUGGCCUACCAAGGCGACGAUCGCUAGCUGGUCUGAGAGGAUGAUCAGCCACACUGGGACUGAGACACGGCCCAGACUCCUACGGGAGGCAGCAGUGGGGAAUAUUGGACAAUGGGCGCAAGCCUGAUCCAGCAAUGCCGCGUGUGUGAAGAAGGCCCUCGGGUUGUAAAGCACUUUUAUCAGGAACGAAAUACCACGGGUUAAUACCCUAUGGGGCUGACGGUACCUGAGGAAUAAGCACCGGCUAACUUCGUGCCAGCCGCCGCGGUAAUUC